CCUACGGGAGGCUGCAGUGGGGAAUAUUGCACAAUGGGCGCAAGCCUGAUGCAGCCAUGCCGCGUGUGUGAAGAAGGCCUUCGGGUUGUAAAGCACUUUCAGCGGGGAGGAAGGCGUUAAGGUUAAUAACCUUGGCGAUUGACGUUACCCGCAGAAGAAGCACCGGCUAACUCCGUGCCAGCAGCCGCGGUAAUACGGAGGGUGCAAGCGUUAAUCGGAAUUACUGGGCGUAAAGCGCACGCAGGCGGUCUGUCAAGUCGGAUGUGAAAUCCCCGGGCUCAACCUGGGAACCGCAUUCGAAACUGGCAGGCUAGAGUCUUGUAGAGGGGGGUAGAAUUCCAGGUGUAGCGGUGAAAUGCGUAGAGAUCUGGAGGAAUACCGGUGGCGAAGGCGGCCCCCUGGACAAAGACUGACGCUCAGGUGCGAAAGCGUGGGGAGCAAACAGGAUUAGAUACCCGUGUAGUC
rnacentral:rRNA from 1 species